GGAAGGGUGUCCGAGUGGUUUAAGGAGCACGCUUGGAAAGCGUGUGGUGUUAAAGCCUCGCAGGUUCGAAUCCUGUCCCUUCCG
rnacentral:tRNA from 1 species